AUUAUUUCUUGGUCUUUUGACUGAGCUCAAGUGUAGUAUCUGUUCUUAUCAAUUUAAUAUCUGAUAUAUUCUCUAAACGAGAAUGUUAUUUUAAAGAUAUUUUUGGAGCAGGGAGCUAGAAUGAGGGCUUGUUUUUUCUGCUUUGUAUAUCAACUUGAUGGCAGCACGAUGGUGUAGUGGUU